rnacentral:lncRNA from 1 species
AAGGUCCGUAUCUCUAACCAUUAAUCCAAAUGAAAGACAAACUUGGAGGUGCCUGGAGAGGUAGGGCCGGAACCAUAUUUUUGGCCAUUUUGAAUCUAUUGCUUAGAGGAAUUAUAUCCUACGUCAUAUGCACCAUAUGACAGUACACCACACUAAUCAUAGGUGCUUAUUCCAUAGAUCAAUCACUGAGAUGAGUGUUGGGUGGAUGUCUUAUCAGAACACCACCUCCCAAGACCUUUUCGGUACUGUGCGAUGC